rnacentral:tmRNA from 1 species
GGGGGCGCUUCGGAUUCGACGCCGGUAUCAACACCUGAGGUGCAUGUCGAGAGGGUAGUAACUCUCGUUAAAAAAUUACUGCAAUUACUUAGUUGCCAACGACGACAACUACGCUCUAGCUGCUUAAUAUAGCCGGCUAGCGAUUGCCACGGGGAUGCCCGUAAACCAGUGAUUGCAAUCGUCAUAUAGAACGGGACCGCUGCUAAAAGUGUCUGGCUUUUAACAGUCAAAUCUUGCCAGACUCGCCCUAACUCACCCUGCCCGUCGGGUCGAUAAGGGCUAACUCAAUAGACGACGCUAAGCAUGUAGAUCUUUAGGCCGCGAACUGACGGACGGGGGUUCAACUCCCCCCGCCUCCACCA